CAGCAGCCGCGGGAAUACGAAGGGGGCUAGCGUUGCUCGGAAUGACUGGGCGUAAAGGGCGCGUAGGCGGCGGCCAAAGUCAGGCGUGAAAUUCCCGGGCUCAACCCGGGGGCUGCGUUUGAUACUUGGUUGUUUGAGUGGGGAAGAGGGUCGUGGAAUUCCCAGUGUAGAGGUGAAAUUCGUAGAUAUUGGGAAGAACACCGGUGGCGAAGGCGGCUCACUGGCUCAUUCUAGACGCUGAGGUGCGAAAGCGCGGGGAGCAAACAGGAUUAGAUACCCGAGUAGUCCCUGUCUCUUAUAA
rnacentral:rRNA from 1 species